rnacentral:rRNA from 1 species
UACGUAGGGUGCAAGCGUUUGUCCGGAAUUAUUGGGCGUAAAGGGCUCGUAGGCGGCGUGUCGCGUCGGGAGUGAAAGACCGGGGCUUAACCCCGGUUCUGCUUCCGGUACGGGCAUGCUGGAGUGUGGCAGGGGAGACUGGAAGUUCCUGGUGUAGCGGUGGAAUGCGCAGAUAUCAGGAGGAACACCGGUGGCGAAGGCGGGUCUCUGGGCCAUUACUGACGCUGGAGGAGCGAAAGCGUGGGGAGCGAACAGG